AGAGCGAACGCUGGCGGCAGGCCUAACACAUGCAAGUCGAGCGCCCGUAGCAAUACGGGAGCGGCAGACGGGAUAGUAACACGUGGGAACGCGCCCUUCGGUUCGGAAUAACUCAGGGAAACUUGAGCUAAUACCGGAUACGCCCUUACGGGGAAAGAUUUAUUGCCGAAGGAACGGCCCGCGUCCGAUUAGCUAGUUGGUGAGGUAAUGGCUCACCAAGGCGACGAUCGGUAGCUGGUCUGAGAGGAUGACCAGCAUCACUGGGACUGAGACACGGCCCAGACUCCUACGGGAGGCAGCAGUGGGGAAUAUUGGACAAUGGGCGCAAGCCUGAUCCAGCCAUGCCGCGUGGAUGAUGAAGGCCUUAGGGUUGUAAAGUCCGUUUUAACGGGAAGUAUAAUGACGGUACCGUAGAAUAAGCCCCGGACUAACGUUCGUGCCAGCAGCCGC
rnacentral:rRNA from 1 species